UACGGGAGGCAGCAGUGGGGAAUCUUCCGCAAUGGGCGCAAGCCUGACGGAGCAACGCCGCGUGAGUGAAGAAGGUCUUCGGAUCGUAAAGCUCUGUUGAUGGGGACGAACGUGCCUAAUGCGAAUAGUUUUAGGCAAUGACGGUACCCAUCGAGGAAGCCACGGCUAACUACGUGCCAGCAGCCGCGGUAAUACGUAGGUGGCGAGCGUUGUCCGGAAUCAUUGGGCGUAAAGGGAGCGCAGGCGGGCAUGUAAGUCUUUCUUAAAAGUGCGGGGCUCAACCCCGUGAUGGGAAAGAAACUAUGUGUCUUGAGUACAGGAGAGGAAAGCGGAAUUCCCAGUGUAGCGGUGAAAUGCGUAGAUAUUGGGAGGAACACCAGUGGCGAAGGCGGCUUUCUGGACUGCAACUGACGCUGAGGCUCGAAAGCCAGGGGAGCGAACGGGAUUAGAUACCCCGGUAGUCCUGGCCGUAAACGAUGGAUACUAGGUGUGGGAGGUAUCGACCCCUACCGUGCCGGAGUUAACGCAAUAAGUAUCCCGCCUGGGGAGUACGGCCGCAAGGCUGAAACUCAAAGGAAUUGACGGGGGCCCGCACAAG
rnacentral:rRNA from 1 species